rnacentral:rRNA from 1 species
GACGAACGCUGGCGGCGCGCCUAACACAUGCAAGUCGAACGAGCGAGAGAGAGCUUGCUUUCUCGAGCGAGUGGCGAACGGGUGAGUAACGCGUGAGGAACCUGCCUCAAAGAGGGGGACAACAGUUGGAAACGACUGCUAAUACCGCAUAAGCCCACGACCCGGCAUCGGGUAGAGGGAAAAGGAGCAAUCCGCUUUGAGAUGGCCUCGCGUCCGAUUAGCUAGUUGGUGAGGUAACGGCCCACCAAGGCGACGAUCGGUAGCCGGACUGAGAGGUUGAACGGCCACAUUGGGACUGAGACACGGCCCAGACUCCUACGGGAGGCAGCAGUGGGGAAUAUGGCACAAUGGGGGAAACCCUGAUGCAGCGACGCCGCGGGGAGGAAGAAGGUCUUCGGAUUGUAAACUCCUGUUGGUGAGGAAGAUAAUGACGGUACUCAACAAGGAAGUGACGGCUAACUACGU